GGCUACAGCAUGGUUGUAUCAAUGCUGCAAAAUAGCUCCGAUUGAGCUUCCUUGCUGUAGACAU
rnacentral:pre_miRNA from 1 species